rnacentral:rRNA from 1 species
CACUAUGCCUAGCCCUAAACACAAAUACUCCUUUACAAUGUAUUCGCCAGGGAACAACGAGCCCCAGCUUAAAACCCAAAGGACUUGGCGGUGCUUUAGACCCCCCUAGAGGAGCCUGUUCUAGAACCGAUACCCCCCGUUCAACCUCACCCUCUCUUGUUUAACCCGCCUAUAUACCGCCGUCGUCAGCUUACCCUGUGAAGGCUAAAUAGUAAGCAAAAUUGGCACAACCCAAAACGUCAGGUCGAGGUGUAGCGCACGGGAGGGGAAGAAAUGGGCUACAUUUACUGUUACAGUAAAUACGGACUUUGCACUGAAAUAAGCAUCUGAAGGAGGAUUUAGCAGUAAGAGAGGAAUAGAGCGCCCCUCUGAAACCGGCCCUGAAGCGCGCACACACCGCCCGUCACUCUCCCCGACCACUGCAACUAAUAAAUAAUAUACCUAGACUUAUUAAUAAGGGGAGGCAAGUCGUAA